ACCAGUAGGGCUCUCACACUGGACAAUACACAAGCAGUGACCAUAUCUCGGUUUUGGCUAAGGCUCUGCCCGGCUUCCUAUGCCAGAAGAAAGACAUCAGGAGGAGCACGUGCUUCAGGCAGCCGAGCUUCAUGGAAGAUGUGGAUUCAUCAGUGAAGCAGCUGAAGAAAACCCAUCGUGUAAUUCUGCCGAAUGGGCUGUUUCUACAUUGUAUGAAUCAUUUGAUCUUUUUUGCAAUGAACCGCAAUAGAAGAUGACAAAUCUGUUGUGACUGCUCUAUCCAGCACAGCAGAUGAGCAAAUCCCAUGAAUGGGGGCAGCUCAAGAGUCAAGAACAAACGUGAGACAAGGAUUUACUGUUGACUUUGACACUGAGAACUAAAGGAUCAUGUCAUAAAUAACUGAUAAGCAUAAAGCUCUGUGAAACUGAAAAACAUACCAUAAUUUGCUGCUGUAAUAUGGACUACGUGAGUCUGCUGUCAGAAGCAUGUUGGUGGGACGAUGUAAUAUGCCAGAACAAAUGUUGGUUGCAACAGUCUCUGAAUAGUUUUGC